UCCGUUUAUGAUGAUAUAUUUCGGAUGUAAAACGAGCUUCGGCUCAACCGUCCGAGAGCGCUCAAACCCAUGUGGAUGUUUCCGUUGCCUUCCUUCUGACCUGCUU
rnacentral:snoRNA from 1 species